UUCAUGAGGGUGUUAGUGUCGACUGGACUGUGGUUACAAUCGGCUGAUCCUACCAUGCCACGUUACUUGGCUAUGGCCUGGGUUCCGAAGCUGGAGGUUGAUCACUCAGAAUCAGAAUGAUCCUUGUAAUUACUACCUGCAUCAGCCUGAGGAUCCGUUCCUCCACCACCUCCUCGACUGUCCUUCCACCGCUCUCCCAAUCACACGACAGUGUACAGGGAGGAGCCAUCAACCAGCUCAUGUAAACACAGUAAGGGUCGUGGCUGACGCAGACCCAACUUCCCCUCUCCGAGGAGUGUGUUUGUACCUUAGACACGAGACUUGAGCUUCCUUGAAGGCAAUCAUGGUGGGCGGAGGACACCCGUAUGGCGUGUGGCGCAGGAUGCAAGAAAUUCAUCAACAGUUUUAUGUCAUCAUUUCCCAAAGGAUAAUGAAAGGCAGCUUCUCCCUGCAUCGAGCACCGCUGAGCAGCACCAGAGAGGCAUGAGUAUGUAAGUUACAAGCUGAAUAUCUGGGACAUUGGUGGCAUGUCCUCCUGCCAGACCUACUGGAGGAACUUUUUGAGUGCACUGACAUCCUUAUCUGGGUGUUGGACGGUGCUGAUGGAAACUGCAUGAGAGACUGUCAGGGGGAACUGAAAAAACUGGCGGCAAGUGCAUCCAGAAGCAGUGCUUUUGUGACGUCAUCAAUGGCUGCAGUAGUGGAGAGGAUGAGAUGGUGCUGCCGUGUGACAUUGAUGAGUGCCGGGAGAAGAAUGGCGGGUGUGGGCACCUCUGUGUCAGCACUGUGGAGCCGAACUACUACUGCCAGAGCCAGCCAGGGCACAAACUUAUCAAGAAGUUUAACUGUGAAGACAUUGAUGAGUGUGUGGCACCCAGGUCCUGCUUCCAAUAUUGCACUAACACCACUGGUGGCUUCCACUACUGCAGUCAGCCUGGCUACCACUGUCACUCUUCCAACUACAUGCACUGCAAAGCAGAUUCUGGCAAUCCCUAUCUCAUCUCUUAUAGAGCCCAUAUGAGCAGUCCAGAGACUCCUUAGGUGUUGGUGGAGAAGAAUGAGAUGACAGUGGAUGGUCUUGCAGUCUGGAUCCAUGGGAACAUUUAGUUCACAGACAUCUCGGUAAACAAGAUCCAGAUGAUUUCCUGGGAUGGCUACUGGACUUGCACCAUUGUGACUGAUAAACUGGACCUUCCUCAUGCCACUGCUGUGAAUGCCAUUGAUGGGCAGCUUCUCCCUGCAUCGACCACCGCUGAGCAGCACCAGAGAGGCAUGAGUAUGUAAGGUUAGUCCAGCAUUGCCAGCCACCCCUUAGUCAGCCUUCGUUCUUGUUUAUUUAGGUUUAAUUAGUCGUUUUUUAGGUAUUUUUUGAGGUUGAUUUAUUUUUAGAUUUUGUUUACAUCUGAGUCUGGAAACAGUUGGAGAUUUAGAGAAAUAUUGAAAGUUCAUCAAUAUGUAAACAAGCUGUCAGCUGAGGUAGAGGUUGGGAGUCAGUGUUUUCAGCCUUUAUUUGCUUCAUCUCACACUUAUUGUAAGCUAAACAUAUCACAAGAUGGAGCCAUAUGUCUACCCUUCAUAUCC